rnacentral:rRNA from 1 species
GAACGAACGCUGGCGGCAUGCCUAACACAUGCAAGUCGAACGCCCUCUUUUAGAGGGAGUGGCGCACGGGUGCGUAACGCGUGGGAACCUGCCCUUAGGUUCGGAAUAACUCAGAGAAAUUUGAGCUAAUACCGGAUAAUGUCUUCGGACCAAAGAUUUAUCGCCUUUGGAUGGGCCCGCGUAGGAUUAGAUAGUUGGUGGGGUAAUGGCCUACCAAGUCGACGAUCCUUAGCUGGUCUGAGAGGAUGAUCAGCCACACUGGGACUGAGACACGGCCCAGACUCCUACGGGAGGCAGCAGUGGGGAAUAUUGGACAAUGGGCGAAAGCCUGAUCCAGCAAUGCCGCGUGAGUGAUGAAGGCCUUAGGGUUGUAAAGCUCUUUUACCAGGGAUGAUAAUGACAGUACCUGGAGAAUAAGCUCCGGCUAACUCCGUGCCAGCAGCCGCGGUAAUACGGAGGGAGCUAGCGUUGUUCGGAAUUACUGGGCGUAAAGCGCACGUAGGCGGCUUUUCAAGUCAGGGGUGAAAUCCCGGGGCUCAACCCCGGAACUGCCCUUGAAACUGGAUGGCUAGAAUACUGGAGAGGUGAGUGGAAUUCCGAGUGUAGAGGUGAAAUUCGUAGAUAUUCGGAAGAACACCAGUGGCGAAGGC